UACGUAGGGGGCAAGCGUUGUCCGGAAUCAUUGGGCGUAAAGAGCGUGUAGGCGGACUUAAAGGUCUGGUGUGAAAGCCCGGGCUCAACCCCGGAGGGUCACUGGAAACCAUAAGUCUUGAAUCUGGAAGAGGAGAGUGGAAUUCCUGGUGUAGCGGUGGAAUGCGCAGAUAUCAGGAGGAACACCAAUGGCGAAGGCAGCUCUCUGGUACAUGAUUGACGCUGAGACGCGAAAGCGUGGGGAGCGAACAGG
rnacentral:rRNA from 1 species